CUUUUCCGAACGAAGACGAGUUAUCCGAAAUAGAGGAAGGAGAAGGACUCGGACUCCCGAUUUUGUUACACGUCGCAGCCAACAUGGCUAAAGGAGUCGACCCCAAUCUCGGCUCCUCCUGGAACAAAAGAAGUUAGAAGCAGGAGGUGGGACAGAGAGACCAGAUGUCCCUGUGUGUGCAGGGCUGCCAAGUGAGGCUAGGGCAGUGGAGCCCGAGACACAAGAGCCCAAAUGGUGUGACAAAGGAGGAGCAGGAAGCCUGGCUCUGCCUGGAUGAACCUCAGAGAGCGCCAGUCCACAUCCACAUCCCAGCCCCAACCCCUCGGCCCACGUCCCACAACCCCAUUGAACUACUAGAGCAGGGCCGUGGACCAUGUGCUGACUUUUUGCUGGAUCACACAACCAUAGACAUGAUCACAGGAGUGUAAACGCUGACAUAUGAUCACUGCUAGAGGACAAGUGUGCGGAGUUUAAGCAGAAAGCUCACACACAUGCACAGGCGCUGACCAGAGAGCCUGCAGAAAGAUGCCACUGAGUCCUCGAGAACAUGGCUGGUUUGAAUCUCAUACCAUCAGAUGCCAAGAUCUCGCUGCCUUUCUCAGAAAUGUUUCAUCUGAAAAAAUGUUAAACAAAAACGCCGCAGGAUGAAGUUUGUUUAAUUUGGAUUCAAAAAGUAUAGAAACCUUGCCUCUUUCUUUCUCUACUUAAAUUGUCCAGUCUUGCAUUCAAAAAUCCAUGUGCAUUUCCCUUCUGGCCUUAAGGAAAAAUCAUACUGAGGAAGAAGUAAAAAUGAGAGAAUUGUCAAAUGGAGGGACGAAGGAGGGGCUUGAUAAAGGAAGUCAGGACGGUCUUCUCGCCAUGCAAUUUAAUCACUGUAUACCCAGGCAAGUAUUGACAGUUGUCCUGUGGAAGCUAUUAAAGUUGCUGUCCAAGGUUAAAUGAAAUUGCAGUUUAUCAGGGGAGCAUUGAGAAAAUAAGGGAAUCUGCUGGAGCCGGCUGAUUAAUGUGGAGCAUGAUCAACACAAGGGGGUUCAUUAAACCAUACAUCACUAGGGUAAUUUAACAUGUCAUCACGCCUGCUGUCUCCCCCUGCAACACAUGUAUUUAUGUGUGCGUGGGGGUGUGAGAUUGUGUGUGCUUUUUGUCAUGGUUACACUGUACAUCAAAGAAUCAGUGUCGGUUUGGGUGUAGGCCGAUCUUAUAUUAUGAGGAAUGAUAUGCAGCAUUGUAUCGUGCUGAAAUGAAAUAACGGUAAUUGCUCAAAUGCUCCUCCCUACAUUUGGUGUUUGUAGGUGCAUGAUAGGUAAAAUAUGACAUGGAAGGGUAACCUUCACAUAUGGAUAUUUCUGUAGGCAA